UUUUCUCACUGAUGGUAUAUUUACCUUUCAGGUUUCUUUGCACAUGCCAAGGUUGAAUCUGUAAAAUCUAAGGAAGCAGCUGAACAACGGAUGCUUAAAAAGAAAGGCUGGUUUCCAUUUAGAUGGUCUGUGAGAAUGUUGUGGUCUUUAUCAAUUUCUUUCAAUUGAAUUACCUCCUUUUGUUUUUUCUGUUUUUCUUGUGUGCUUAGAUCCUUCUUAUCUGUGCUUAAGUGAUUAUUCUUCUUGUUGUCGUCCAUUUGCUGCUGUCACCCUAUUGUAGUUUCUUUUCUUAUCAGAGUGAGAUUGUUUGUGGUAGAUAUGAACAACUCCUUGUAUCCACUAAAUUUAAACAUCGGAGCACCCACUGUGAUGUGACAUAGAGGUUUUACAGAUUGUCUGCCCCUGAAGGUUCACUUGUACAGAUUCAAAUAUUAUGCGGCUGGUGGGCAAUGUGGCUGCUUUUAUGCUAUGUGGGCUGUUUUCUAUUCUGAAUUUACAUGGUGGUCCACAUUUUCACCUCUAAGUUUUCUAUUGACGGGUUUUGAAAUGUGAGCAUGCUAUCCGUGGUGAAAUUGUUAACCUGGCCCAAGUAACAUUGAGAUUUCUGCGAUGCUCUUCAAUAUGAUUUUAAUUGAUAGAUAGAUAGAUUGAUAGCAUUGCACCGGUAGAAUGGUUACAAAAGAAAAAACCUGAAUUCUGCCUUAAACUAAGAAAAAAUGAUUUUAAUCAAGGAGAAUGGAAUGUGAGGUGAAAGGAAGAACAAUGAAUAAAUCAGUUUAGUGGCUUUCCACACUACAACUUCAUGCAGUUCUUUCAUAUUGUAAACCAUUGUAAAAUUUAGGAUUGUUCGACGCCUUAUUUUGUAUUUAUUUAUUAAUUGUUUGACUUCUUACUCUAUAUUUAUUUAUUAUUCUUUGGAUCUUUGAAUUUGUUUCCCAUGUAAAUAGAAUUAGAAUUUAUCGUCCCAUUGCCUUGAUUUUUUUAAUUUAAAAUUCCAUUCUGCAUAUCAGGUUAUUUUUCAUUUCUGGUAAUAAAAGAAUACUAAGGUUAGGCUGAAGAUUGUUUGAUAUAUUGUUUGACACUCUCCAUUCAUGAGAUAGUUUCAAAUAUAAAAUGGGUGAGUCAAAACCUAUAAGGUUAGGCUGAAGAUUGUUUGGUUGUUUCCUCUGCUACUUCUCCGCUUGGUUGGCUGGGGUGGGUCUGGUGUAGGUGUGCUGUGUCCUGUCAUCUAGUAUUUGAUUUUAUUAUUUUGAGUUAGGUGAAGAUUAUGCCAACAUAUCUUGGGAGAUCCUAUCUGUUGAUGUUAUGCUAUGGAGAGUAUGCCAGCACAAUGAGCAUAAGGUCCUCAAAGGGUAAAAAACUUCAGUAGUAAAAUUGGGUUUCUGAUACUCAUGCCGCUGCUGGAUCUGUUGAUAGUGAUUGUGUCCUUGCUUGCUGGGUGGAACUUCAUUAUGGUCAGGGUUUGAAUUGGUUUAACUUAGAAGUCAAUUUGUUAGAUAGUUAAGCUACCUUAACUUUGUGAAAUUGGUGAUGAUCUGAGUUGCUGCUGUGAAGUUGUGGUUUCUGUUCUGAUGUGCAGUUCAGGAGUAGAAUUGGGCUUUUAAGUCCUCUGGGCUGUGCUGCUAUCCUGUGGAACACUAAAUGAUCUGUUGACUGCCAGUCAGUACUACUGUGAAGACCAGAGGAGAUUCAUGGAGAGGCUGGCAGCUAAUGGUGGAUUUCAAGGUCGACCCAACAAGCCUAGUGACACUUGUUAUGCCUUUUGGGUUGGAGGUGUUCUGAGGAUCUUAGGGGGCCACAAAUUCAUCGACGAGAAAGCAUUACGCCAAUUUUUGUUAACUUGCCAGUCCCAGGAAGAGUGACUUGCGAUGGACUGCCUUAAUACGAUUUUUUUUAGGGUAAAUUACAGUAAGCCCCUUAAAU